GGCAGAGAGGCCUAGUGAAAAGAGCACAGGUCUGGUAGUCUGAGGACCUGGGUUCUAAUCCUGGCUCCGCCU
rnacentral:tRNA from 1 species